rnacentral:rRNA from 1 species
UACGAAGGGGGCUAGCGUUGUUCGGAAUUACUGGGCGUAAAGCGUAUGCAGGCGGAUCGUUAAGUCGGGGGUGAAAUCCCGAGGCUCAACCUCGGAACUGCCUUCGAUACUGGCGAUCUUCGAGUCCGGGAGAGGUGAGUGGAACUCCGAGUGUAGAGGUGAAAUUCGUAGAUAUUCGGAAGAACACCAGUGGCGAAGGCGGCUCACUGGCCCGGUAUUGACGCUGAGGCGCGGAA